rnacentral:rRNA from 1 species
CCUACGGGAGGCUGCAGUAGGGAAUCUUCCACAAUGGGCGAAAGCCUGAUGGAGCAACGCCGCGUGGGUGAAGAAGGUCUUCUGAUCGUAAAACCCUGUUGUUAGAGGAGAAAGUGCGUGAGAGUAACCGUUCACGUUUCGACGGUAUCUAACCAGAACGCCACGGCUAACUACGUGCCAGCAGCCGCGGUAAUACGUAGGUAGCAAGCGUUAACCGGAUUUAUUGGGCGUAAAGGGAGCGCAGGCGGUCUUUUAAGUCUGAUGUGAAAGCCUUCGGCUUAACCGGAGUAGUGCAUUGGAAACUGGGAGACUGGAGUGCAGAAGAGGAAAGUGGAAUUCGAGGUGUAGCGGUGAAAUGCGUAGAUAUCUGGAAGAACACCAGUGGCGAAGGCGGCUCUCUGGACUGUAACUGACGCUGAGGUUCGAAAGCGUGGGUAGCAAACAGGAUUAGAUACCCGAGUAGUC